rnacentral:rRNA from 1 species
AUUGAACGCUGGCGGCAUGCUUUACACAUGCAAGUCGAACGGUAACAGGUUAAGCUGACGAGUGGCGAACGGGUGAGUAAUGCAUCGGAACGUGCCCGGUCGUGGGGGAUAACGCAGCGAAGGCUGCGCUAAUACCGCAUACGAUCUGAGGAUGAAAGCGGGGGACCGUAAGGCCUCGCGCGAUCGGAGCGGCCGAUGUCAGAUUAGGUAGUUGGUGGGGUAAAGGCUCACCAAGCCAACGAUCUGUAGCUGGUCUGAGAGGACGACCAGCCACACUGGGACGGAGACACGGCCCAGACUCCUACGGGAGGCAGCAGUGGGGAAUUGUGGACAAUGGGCGAAAGCCUGAUCCAGCAAUGCCGCGUGCAGGAAGAAGGCCUUCGGGUUGUAAACUGCUUUUGUACGGAGCGAAAAGGUCUCCUCUAAUACAGGGGGCUCAUGACGGUACCGUAAGAAUAAGCACCGGCUAACUACGCGCCAGCCGCCGCCGUAA